rnacentral:rRNA from 1 species
AGGGAAUCUUCCACAAUGGACGCAAGUCUGAUGGAGCAACGCCGCGUGAGUGAAGAAGGUCUUCGGAUCGUAAAGCUCUGUUGUUGGUGAAGAAGGAUAGAGGCAGUAACUGGUCUUUAUUUGACGGUAAUCAACCAGAAAGUCACGGCUAACUACGUGCCAGCAGCCGCGGUAAUACGUAGGUGGCAAGCGUUGUCCGGAUUUAUUGGGCGUAAAGCGAGCGCAGGCGGAAUGAUAAGUCUGAUGUGAAAGCCCACGGCUCAACCGUGGAACUGCAUCGGAAACUGUCAUUCUUGAGUGCAGAAGAGGAGAGUGGAACUCCAUGUGUAGCGGUGGAAUGCGUAGAUAUAUGGAAGAACACCAGUGGCGAAGGCGGCUCUCUGGUCUGCAACUGACGCUGAGGCUCGAAAGCAUGGGUAGCGAACAGGAUUAGAUACCCUGGUAGUCCAUGCCGUAAACGAUGAGCGCUAGGUGUUGGGGACUUUCCGGUCCUCAGUGCCGCAGCAAACGCUUAAGCGCUCCGCCUGGGGAGUACGA